UACGUAGGGUGCGAGCGUUAAUCGGAAUUACUGGGCGUAAAGCGUGCGCAGGCGGUUCGCCAAGUCAGGUGUGAAAUCCCCGGGCUUAACCUAGGAAUUGCGCUUGAAACUAGCGGGCUUGAGUGUGGCAGAGGGGGGUGGAAUUCCACGUGUAGCAGUGAAAUGCGUAGAGAUGUGGAGGAACACCGAUGGCGAAGGCAGCCCCCUGGGUCAACACUGACGCUCAUGCACGAAAGCGUGGGGAGCAAACAGG
rnacentral:rRNA from 1 species